rnacentral:sRNA from 1 species
UUCUAGCCCCGAUUGCAGCGGCAUCCUUUUACGGAACGGAGUGCAGUAAAAGAUAUAGCGGAAAGCGGGACCGUAA